rnacentral:ncRNA from 1 species
UCUUAUCCCGAGCUGGUGGAGGGUCAAGGCCCUAUGAAGCCCGGCAACCUGCAUUUUUUUGAUGCGAUGGUGCCAACCUGAUGCAAGGGGAUACCCUUGAACGAUAAGA